UACGUAGGGGGGCAAGCGUUGUCCGGAAUCAUUGGGCGUAAAGCGCGUGUAGGCGGUUACGUAAGUCUGCUGUGAAAGUCGGAGGCUCAACCUUCGAAAGCCGGUGGAUACUGCGUGACUAGAGUACGGAAGAGGAGAGUGGAAUUCCUGGUGUAGCGGUGAAAUGCGCAGAUAUCAGGAGGAACACCAACGGCGAAGGCAGCUCUCUGGGACGUUACUGACGCUGAGACGCGAAAGCGUGGGGAGCAAACAGG
rnacentral:rRNA from 1 species